rnacentral:rRNA from 1 species
AGUGAACGCUGGCGGUAGGCCUAACACAUGCAAGUCGAACGGCAGCACAGUAAGAGCUUGCUCUUACGGGUGGCGAGUGGCGGACGGGUGAGGAAUACAUCGGAAUCUACUUUUUCGUGGGGGAUAACGUAGGGAAACUUACGCUAAUACCGCAUACGACCUACGGGUGAAAGCAGGGGAUCUUCGGACCUUGCGCGAUUGAAUGAGCCGAUGUCGGAUUAGCUAGUUGGCGGGGUAAAGGCCCACCAAGGCGACGAUCCGUAGCUGGUCUGAGAGGAUGAUCAGCCACACUGGAACUGAGACACGGUCCAGAAUCCUACGGGAGGCAGCAGUGGGGAAUAUUGGACAAUGGGCGCAAGCCUGAUCCAGCCAUACCGCGUGGGUGAAGAAGGCCUUCGGGUGGUAAAGCCCUUUUGUUGGGAAAGAAAAGCAGCAGGUUAAUACCCCGCUGUUCUGACGGUACCCAAAGAAUAAGCACCGGCUAACUUCGU